CACAUGUUACUGUGUGUGUGUGUGUGUGUGUUGUUAGGGUGAAUGUCUGCUUUUGAAGGAGGAAUGUGCUGUUGACUGUUUAUUACAUUUCAAUUCUUCCAGGAUGAGGUCAACGUCAUCGCCUUCAUCUGUGGACCAAACCGUCGUGGUUCCAUGAUUCAUCUCGGGGCCCAGAGCUGCGGCCCCAGACGUCCUGGAUCAGGGGGGAGCCCCUGAGGAA
rnacentral:lncRNA from 1 species